rnacentral:rRNA from 1 species
UACGUAGGGGGCAAGCGUUGUCCGGAAUCAUUGGGCGUAAAGCGCACGUAGGCGGAUUGUUAAGUCGGGGGUGAAAUCCUGGAGCUCAACUCCAGAACUGCCUUCGAUACUGGCGAUCUCGAGUUCGGGAGAGGUGAGUGGAACUGCGAGUGUAGAGGUGAAAUUCGUAGAUAUUCGCAAGAACACCAGUGGCGAAGGCGGCUCACUGGCCCGUUACUGACGCUGAGGCACGAAAGCGUGGGGAGCAAACAGG